ACUACUGUAAUAGUAGUUCUAUACUAGACGGUGAAGAUUCCAGCUUCCGGUUUCUUCCCACCUUCCUCGCAAGCUGGAAGUUGGAACCAACAAUUUACUUAGCCCGGGCAGGUGCCCGCGUGAGUCCUCACCACCACCCUCCCCCGCGACGCCCCUGACCGAAUUCCUCCAAUUGGAAAGCGAGACCCAAAAAACUCCACGUCUCCACCUCCGGGAUCCGAAUCCACGUUCAACGGAGUAGUUUUCUCUAGAUUAUAAGCCCUAAGUCAACCUGCAACUUCCACAUUUUUAUGAUCCAAAAGGUGAAAUGAACGAAGUAAUGACGGCAGCUGAUGCAUCCUCCAGCUUACGCCCAUACUCAUCUCCACACUCCAUUUAUCCCUCCAAUCUCCCCCUUGUCUCCGCUUUCCUCGCUUGUCUUGUUGCCCAAUUUCUCAAGAUCUUUACCCAUUGGUUCAAGGAGAGGAAAUGGGAUUCGAGAAGGAUGCUUAGUUCUGGUGGAAUGCCGUCAUCACAUUCAGCAACUGUUACUGCUCUUGCUGUAGCAAUAGGUUUGCAAGAUGGAGCGGGAACAUCUGCUUUUGCCAUUGCGGUCGUUUUGGCAUGUGUUGUAAUGUAUGAUGCUACUGGUGUUAGGCUUCAUGCUGGUCGGCAGGCUGAAUUAUUGAAUCAGAUAGUUUGUGAAUUGCCCCCUGAACAUCCUGUCGCUAAUGUUAGGCCUCUGCGAGAUUCACUUGGUCACACUCCUUUCCAGGUUUGACUGCAGAAAAACUCCUCUAGUUUUACUUAUUCUUAAGUUAUACAGAGACUGAUUGCUUGUUACUGGCUUUUAAUUAUUUUAUUUUUCUUUUAAAUGUGGGUUUUGCCUUUUGGGGUCUUGGUUUGGUUGUUGAAGGCUGGACAUCUGUGAGCAGCCUUUACUGAUAUACUUUCUGAACUCUGUUUUAUUCAUCUGGAACAUUGACUCUGUGUUUGGAAUGCUACUGUUGUUUAAUAAUAUGCUCGAGAACGGAGUUAGUGCCUUUCACUAGUUGCUGGACAUAUAAAUCCACCCAAUGCUGUCCUCCAUCAGGGUUCUUUUUGUAAACUACGGUUGUUUGUUUUGGGUGUUAAUGCUGCCUUUUCUUUUUUCUUUUUUAAUUUGUUCCCAGCAGGGGAGGUGGGAUUUAAGAAGCGGGAAAGGGGCAGGGGGAUUUGAACCUAGGACCUCUAAUUCCUAAGGCCUCAACCUUAGCAAUUAGACCAAGGCCUUCUCGGCUUGUUAAUGCUGGUUUUAAUAUUCUCUUAAUGAAAUUUAAAUAAUUAUUUAAUAUCUAAUUCUCAAUGAUGCGCCACUUAUGUUGCAGCGUACUUACCUAGAAAAUAAGUACUGUGAUACCCAUCUUGUGCCUGAUGUUUAUAUUUGGGUUACAUGCAUUGAUGUCUGCUGAAUUUAUCUUUUUAGCGUGUCACUAUUAUUCCCAUAUAGAGGUAUUGUGGCUAAUGUUCCUUGCAGUGAUAUCAUGAUGAGCGGUACCAUUCAGAGUCACUUCCAUGGUUGUUGCUGGUGCUUUGCUUGGAUGUGUGGUAGCCUAUCUCCUGAGUAGCUCUGCUUAGAAUGGCGCUGGUGAUUCUUCAGAGCCAAGUGCUGUAAGAGGCUUUUGUACUUUCUGAUUCGUUCAGGCUGCAGCUUGACUGGUCGCCUCAAGUAGAAAGGAAAGAGCUAGGAGUUAGGAAUCGGAUCCUUUGUGGUGGAAGAUACGCUCAUUAAGACACGGUUUGGGAAAUUUUGCGUGGUGGGGUCAUUAGAGGGUGUGGGUGAUCGAAACUGUGUAUCGGUACAAGUAACAUAUAUAAUGUCAUUUGUAUUCUGUGUUAUGGUAUCCGUUUUCUAAGAUCUUAGAUAAAGAAUAUCCAGUGGAAUUGGAGGCAAUUCUCAACAUUUGUAUUUGUGUACACAUAGUCAACUUGGUGAGAAAUGAGUUCUACUGUUGACUCAGUGACAUAUAUAGUUGUUAGAUUGUUGUCGAUGCUAAUCCCCUGUAAUUCAUCCUCAUCAAUUAGAUGAGAUGUAGAAUUGACGUGUAGCAUGUUCCUGGAUGGCAAAGUGAGUUUUGAUUUAGGCCUCCCAAGGUUUCUUUGCGUCCUUAUAUUAUUGUUAAUCGAGCUUAGUUCAGUUUUACUUUGACAC